CAACCUAACCUAUGGACGGGAAUAACCUCGGGAAACUGAGUAUAAUGCCCGAUAGAACACUAUACCUGGAAUGGUUUGUGUUCCAAAUGAUUUAUCGCCGUAGGAUGGGACUGCGGCCUAUCAGUUUGUUGGUGAGGUAAUGGCCCACCAAGACUAUUACAGGUACGGGCUCUGAGAGGAGUAGCCCGGAGAUGGGUACUGAGACACGGACCCAGGCCCUAUGGGGCGCAGCAGGCGAGAAAACUUUGCAAUGUGCGAAAGCACGACAAGGUUAAUCCGAGUGGUUUCUGCUAAAGAAACCUUUUGUCGGUCCUAGAAACACCGAUGAAUAAGGGGUGGGCAAGUUCUGGUGUCAGCCGCCGCGGUAAAACCAGCACCUCAAGUGGUCAGGAUGAUUAUUGGGCCUAAAGCAUCCGUAGCCGGCUCUGUAAGUUCUCGGUUAAAUCUGUACGCUCAACGUACAGGCUGCCGGGAAUACUGCAGAGCUAGGGAGUGGGAGAGGUAGACGGUACUCGGUAGGAAGGGGUAAAAUCCUUUGAUCUAUUGAUGACCACCUGUGGCGAAGGCGGUCUACCAGAACACGUCCGACGGUGAGGGAUGAAAGCUGGGGGAGCAAACCGGAUUAGAUACCCGGGUAGUCCCAGCUGUAAACUAUGCAAACUCAGUGAUGCAUUGGCUUGUGGCCAAUGCAGUGCUGCAGGGAAGCCGUUAAGUUUGCCGCCUGGGAAGUACGUACGCAAGUAUGAAACUUAAAGGAAUUGGCGGGGGAGCACCACAAGGGGUGAAGCCUGCGGUUCAAUUGGAGUCAACGCCGGA
rnacentral:rRNA from 1 species